GCGCCCGUAGCUCAGCUGGAUAGAGCAACUGGCUUCGAACCAGUAGGUCGGGAGUUCGAAUCUCUCCGGGCGCACCA
rnacentral:tRNA from 1 species